rnacentral:rRNA from 1 species
UGCCAGCCGCCGCGGUAAUACGGAGGGAGCUAGCGUUGUUCGGAAUUACUGGGCGUAAAGCGUGCGUAGGCGGAUCGACAAGUUGGGGGUGAAAUCCCGGGGCUUAACCCCGGAACUGCCCUCAAAACUGUCGAUCUAGAGACCGGGAGAGGUAAGCGGAAUUCCUAGUGUAGAGGUGAAAUUCGUAGAUAUUCGGUGGAACACCAGUGGCGAAGGCGACUAACUGGACUGAUACUGACGCUGAGGUGCGAAAGUGUGGGGAGCAAACAGGAUUAGAUA